rnacentral:lncRNA from 1 species
GGUACAUGAUACCUCGGGGCAUUCCUCGGUGAAUAAAUAUAUACAGAUACUUCGGGGCAUUCCCCGACCAAAUUAUACAAUUGAAUUAAAUACGAUAAACUAGAAAGAAACAUUCACAUGCACAUUCCAACAUCCAACCAAAACAUCAAUCUUAAAUUCUUGCCUACCCGAACCUAUAUUGCCUAUCCAUUUCAUUAUGGCAUAAAUCUAUCACAUUCACUUGUACCGAAUGGAACAAAAGACAACAAACCAACAUCAAUCUAC